AUUUUUCAAAUAGUCUAGAGGUACCACUUUUCUUUCUUUAUGCAGAUUGGGUGAAUUCUCUUUCUUGAGAUAGUUUGUGUUUUUAUGUUCUAUAUUUUAUGUGAUAAUUUCUUGUAGCUGGCUGGGUUAGAAAUCUUUAAUGUACCUUUGAUGACUUUUCUUUCUUUAUGCAGAUUAGAGUGAUGUGCUCGUUCCUAAUUGCCGUACAGUUCCUUGAGAUCACAGGAGGCAUGAUCAGGGAUAGUCUCGCUUCCUAAAGAAAUUAUCAGAGAUAGUCUCGCCUCCAAGCACAUCGAGCGCUCACAAAUAGGAAAAAAAGUUGAUAUUGUAUCAUUUGGAUAAGAUGUGAUCUGCAAUGAAGUUUGUUAGUAACAUAUUUAUACAUAAGAAAGGGAAUAGUGUGAGAUGAUAAAUUUCAAAUUAACUACAGAAACUUUUGAGGUUUUCGAGACACUUUUGAAAAAGUGACUCCGUGAAAUCCAUAAAAGCAAGAUCAGUUUGAUAAAAAUUGUCCUUGAAACCGUUAAAGUGCCGACAGACAUUAAUGAAAGUUGCGUGAAGUUUUAAAAUCUCAAAAAGAACUUAAGGGUACUAAGUUUAGUGAAGACUUUAAAGUUUCUUGUCGC
rnacentral:lncRNA from 1 species